rnacentral:rRNA from 1 species
CGCCCUUCCUACGGGAGGCAGCAGUGAGGAAUCUUGCGCAAUGGGCGAAAGCCUGACGCAGCGACGCCGCGUGGGGGAUGAAGGCCGUAAGGUCGUAAACCCCUUUUCUGGGGGACGAGGAAGGACGGUACCCCAGGAAUAAGUCCCGGCUAACUACGUGCCAGCAGCCGCGGUAAUACGUAGGGGGCGAGCGUUAUCCGGAUUUACUGGGCGUAAAGCGCGCGCAGGCGGCCGCGUAAGUCGAGCGUGAAAGCUCCCGGCUCAACUGGGAGAGGUCGUUCGAAACUGCGCGGCUUGAGGACGGGAGAGGAGAGUGGAAUUCCCGGUGUAGCGGUGAAAUGCGCAGAUAUCGGGAGGAACACCAGUGGCGAAGGCGGCUCUCUGGCCCGUUCCUGACGCUCAGGCGCGAAAGCGUGGGGAGCGAAGGGGAUUAGAUACCCCCGUAGUCCACGCCCUAAACGAUGGGUGCUAGGUGUGGGUGGUGUAAAAGCCAUCCGUGC